UCCAUUCACUACUGUCAGUCGCUCUGGAUAAGAGCGUCUGCUAAAAUGACGUAAA
rfam:Salmo salar isolate Sally breed double haploid chromosome ssa05, whole genome shotgun sequence.